AUUGAACGCUGGCGGCAUGCCUUACACAUGCAAGUCGAACGGCAGCGCGGGAGCAAUCCUGGCGGCGAGUGGCGAACGGGUGAGUAAUACAUCGGAACGUGCCCAAUCGUGGGGGAUAACGCAGCGAAAGCUGUGCUAAUACCGCAUACGAUCUACGGAUGAAAGCAGGGGAUCGCAAGACCUUGCGCGAAUGGAGCGGCCGAUGGCAGAUUAGGUAGUUGGUGAGGUAAAGGCUCACCAAGCCUUCGAUCUGUAGCUGGUCUGAGAGGAGGACCAGCCACACUGGGACUGAAACACGGCCCAGACUCCUACGGGAGGCAGCAGUGGGGAAUUUUGGACAAUGGGCGAAAGCCUGAUCCAGCCAUGCCGCGUGCAGGAUGAAGGCCUUCGGGUUGUAAACUGCUUUUGUACGGAACGAAACGGUCUUUUCUAAUAAAGAAGGCUAAUGACGGUACCGUAAGAAUAAGCACCGGCUAACUACGUG
rnacentral:rRNA from 1 species